rnacentral:rRNA from 1 species
GACGAAGGGGGCUAGCGUUGUUCGGAAUUAUUGGGCGUAAAGAGCUCGUAGGCGGUUUGUCGCGUCUGCUGUGAAAACUCGGGGCUUAACCCCGGGCCUGCAGUGGGUACGGGCAGACUAGAGUGCGGUAGGGGAGACUGGAAUUCCUGGUGUAGCGGUGAAAUGCGCAGAUAUCAGGAGGAACACCGGUGGCGAAGGCGGGUCCCUGGGCCGAUACUGACGCUGAGGAGCGAAAGCGUGGGGAGCGAACAGG